rnacentral:ncRNA from 2 species
GGCUUAUCGCGAGAGGUGGAGGGAGGGCCCCGAUGAAACCCGGCAACCCCGCUAUUUAGCCGGAAGGUGCCAAGUGCCGCAGGAAACCUCCUGGAAGAUAAGUU